rnacentral:rRNA from 1 species
GACGAACGCUGGCGGCGUGCUUAACACAUGCAAGUCGAACGGAAAGGCCUGCUUUCCCUUGUGGAUUGCGGGUACUCGAGUGGCGAACGGGUGAGUAACACGUGAGUGAUCUGCCCCCAACUUGGGUAUAAGCCUGGGAAACUGGGUCUAAUUCCCGAUAGGACUGCAGGGUGGUGCCUGUGGUGGAAAACGAUUUUCUAGUGGUUGGGGAUGAGCUCGCGGCCUAUCAGCUUGUUGGUGGGGUAAUGGCCUACCAAGGCGGCGACGGGUAGCCGGCCUGAGAGGGUGGACGGCCACAUUGGGACUGAGAUACGGCCCAGACUCCUACGAGAGGCAGCAGUGGGGAAUAUUGCACAAUGGGCGGAAGCCUGAUGCAGCGACGCCGAGUGGGGGAUGACGGCCUUCGGGUUGUAAACUCCUUUCGACCGCGAGGAAGCCACCUGGUUGGAAGGGUGGUGACGGUAGUGGUAGAAGAAGCACCGGCUAACUACGUG